AUGUGUAACUUUGUGUUUGAACUGCCUGUUUCCUUGUAGUAGGAUCUUCAACUUUUUGGAAUGUUCCAAACUCCACUUGAGCAUCCAAAUCUGGAUCAAUACCAGCAAAAACAUCUCGGAACAAA